rnacentral:rRNA from 1 species
GAUGAACGCUGGCGGCGUGCCUAAUACAUGCAAGUCGAGCGAACAGACGACAACCUUUCUGCUCGGAGGGUAGCGGCGGACGGCUGAUUAACAACUGGAUAACAUACCUAUAACACUUUGUGGACUUCCGGAAGCCAGAGCGAAUACCACAGGAUAUUUUGAACCUCUUGGUUGAAAAGUCAAGGACGGUCUUGCUUUCACUUAGGGAUGGGCUCGCGGUGUAUCAGCUUGUUGGUGAGGUGAUGGCCUACCAAGGCGGUGACGGGUAGCCGGCCUGAGAGGGUGGACGGUCACACUGGGACUGAGACACGGCCCAGACUCCUACGGGAGGCAGCAGUGGGGAAUAUUGCACAAUGGGCGCAAGCCUGAUGCAGCGACGCCGCGUGAGUGAUGGAGGCCGUCGGGUUGUGAACCUCUUUCGCCAGUGAAGCAGGCCUGCCUCGUUUGUGGGUGGGUUGACGGUAGCUGGAUAAGAAGCGCCGGCUAACUACGUG